CGACCCGGACUAUGGCGGGAAGUGGCAGACUGCUCAGUAACACGUAGCUAACCUACCCUUGGGACGGGUACAACCCCGGGAAACUGAGGUUAAUACCCGAUAGGUGUGGAUUCCUGGAAUGGUACCACGCCCAAAUGUAACGCGUCCAUGUAUGCGUGAACGCCCAAGGAUGGGGCUGCGGCCGAUCAGGCAGUUGGUGAGGUAACGGCUCACCAAACCUUUGACCGGUACGGGCCAUGAGAGUGGUAGCCCGGAGAUGGGCACUGAGACAAGGGCCCAGGCCCUACGGGGCGCAGCAGGCGCGAAACCUCCACAAUUCACGAAAGUGAGAUGGGGUUACCUCGAGUGCCGCCUGAUGAAGGCGGCUUUUCCAUUGUGUAAUGAGCCGUGGGAAUAAGAGGGGGGCAAGACUGGUGUCAGCCGCCGCGGUAACACCAGCCCCUCGAGUGGUGGGGAUGAUUAUUUGGCCUAAAGCGUCCGUAGCCGGCCCUGUAAAUCUCUCGUUAAAUCCAGCGUCCUAAGCGUUGGGCUGCGAGGGAAACUGCAGAGCUAGAGGGUGGGAGAGGUCAGCGGUAUUCCUGGGGUAGGGGCGAAAUCCAUUGAUCCCAGGAGGACCACCAGUGGCGAAGGCUGCUGACUUGAACACGCCUGACGGUGAGGGACGAAAGCUGGGGUAGCGAAUCGGAUUAGAUACCCGGGUAGUCCCAGCUGUAAACGAUGCAGGCUA
rnacentral:rRNA from 1 species